GUAGGUCCUUGAGGGUGCACAACUGCAAACCAGACAAAAAGAAACUUUGGGGUGCUUGAAGUGCCGCUGACAGAGCUAUCAGUUGGCUUUUUCGUGUGGUCUUUAGGAUUAGCCACUCAAGGAAGCGAGAUGUCCAAACCACUACCCAAACCAGUCAAACCAGGGCAAGUUAAAGUUUUCAGAGCUCUGUAUACAUUUGAACCCAGAACUCCAGAUGAAUUGUACUUUGAAGAAGGUGAUAUUAUUUAUGUUACUGACAUGAGUGAUACCAAUUGGUGGAAAGGCACCUCCAAAGGCAGGACUGGACUAAUUCCAAGCAACUAUGUGGCUGAGCGGGCAGAAUCCAUUGACAAUCCAUUGCAUGAAGCUGCAAAAAGAGGCAACUUGAACUGGUUGAGAGAGUGUUUGGACAACCGAGUGGGUGUUAACGGCUUAGACAAAGCUGGGAGCACAGCCUUAUAUCGGGCUUGUCACAGGGGCCACAAAGAUAUAGUGGAAAUGUUAUUUACUCAACCAAACAUUGAACUGAACCAACAGAACAAGUUGGGAGACACGGCUUUGCACGCUGCUACCCGGAAGGGUUAUGCAGAUAUUGUUCAGUUGCUUCUGGAAAAAAGGUGCUAGAAUGGACUUAAGAAACAAUGAGAAGAAACUGGCCUUCGACAUGGCUGCCUGUGCAUCUCUCCUGAAAAAGAAACAGGAAACAGAUGCUAUUCGAACAUUAAGCAAUGCCGAGGACUAUCUUGAUGAUGACGACUCAGAUUAAUUCCAUUCCGAAGCUUUGAGAUCUAAUACUUCUGUUGCUUUUGCCAUUCCAAAACUUUGUCUUUGCCAGGAGAGUGUUGGUAACUGUAUAAAAAAACAAAGAAGUAUGUAUGGAUCUGACAGU